UUAGGAAUAUUGCGCAAUGGGGGAAACCCUGACGCAGCGAUGCCGCGUGAGUGAUGAAGGCCUUCGGGUUGUAAAACUCUUUUAGCAGAAACGAAAAAAAUGACGGUACUUGCAGAAAAAGCACCGGCUAACUCCGUGCCAGCAGCCGCGGUAAUACGGAGGGUGCAAGCGUUAUUCGGAUUUACUGGGCGUAAAGCGCGUGUAGGCGGUUUGAUAAGUCUGAUGUGAAAUCCCUGGACUCAAUUCAGGAAGUGCAUUGGAUACUGUCAGACUAGAGUGCAGGAGAGGAUGGCGGAAUUCCUGGUGUAGAGGUGAAAUUCGUAGAUAUCAGGAGGAACAACAGUGGCGAAGGCGGCCAUCUGGACUGCAACUGACGCUAAGGCGCGAAAGCGUGGGGAGCAAACA
rnacentral:rRNA from 1 species